UACGUAGGGGGCAAGCGUUGUCCGGAAUCAUUGGGCGUAAAGCGCGUGUAGGCGGCUUGGUAAGUCUGCUCUGAAAGCCCGGGGCUCAACCCCGGGAGGCGGGUGGAUACUGUCAAGCUCGAGUCCGGAAGAGGAGUGUGGAAUUCCUGGUGUAGCGGUGAAAUGCGCAGAUAUCAGGAGGAACACCAAUGGCGAAGGCAGCACUCUGGGACGUGACUGACGCUGAGACG
rnacentral:rRNA from 1 species